rnacentral:lncRNA from 1 species
UUCAUCAUGAAUCACCUGCACGUGAAGCAUGAAACCAAGAAAAGCUGCACUUGAAGUAAAGAAAACGUAAGACGGAACCCCAAAUUCAUUGGCGACAUCCAUUACGUCCAUGCAAAACAUAUCAAGAACGAACCCGGCGAGUCGAGGUGAGUCGGACUCGGAUUUAGUGAUGUUGGAGACAACUUGUUUGACAUGGGGUUUCUGUCUCUCAAUUAAAGAAACGAAAUCAAAAAUUUCGGGUUAAAUUAAAAAUGAAAUGGUAGUUUUGUCCUUACACGAGUGCAUAAAUACGUAUUCUUACAACAUUUUCAUGUCAUAUUUUCCAUUCCAUCCUUUACGAAACAACCCAACCAAACGUGUGAGGAUCCACCUUCCGUUAAAGCUACUCUACAACUUUCACUCAUUUCCUUCACUUUCUUUCUUUUUUCACUAUCCUGCUCCAUCACACACCUUAUUCCUCUUUCGAUUUCAUCGCAAUUUACUAUUAUGCCAUCCUCCAUCCUAUAAUCCAUUUUAAUUUCCCUGCUAAUCCCAAUUCAAUUACCAGUUGAAAAGCAGUAAGCUGUUGCUCUGCGUACAAUGGCCACGUGGCAAUUGGAACACCGUACCAUAUACUCUCAAGUAUAGAAUUCCAUCCACAGUGUGAAACAAAUCCUCCUAUGGUUGGAUGAGCUAAAAUUGCUGUUUGUGGAGCCCAUCCAAUUACCUUUCCAAUCUCAACCGUUCGAUUCAAGAAUCCCUCAGGCAAGACUUCUUGGGGGUCUUCAUAGUCACUUGGAAAUUCUACCUCUCCCGUUCCCGUUGGUGGUGGUGGGGGUCGACAUAGGGACCACAAAAAUCGAUUUCCACAAUGCUCUAGUGCACAGGCAAUCUCUUUCACUUGAUCCCUACUAAAACUUCCAGCACUGCCGAAGCACAGGAACAAUACUGAUGAUGGAGGCUGACUAUCAAGCCAUUGCAUGAUCUCUCCAUGAUUGUUAUUUCUUUCAUCUGACCCCACAUUCAGAAUGGGUCCCACAGGGUACAAUGGAGCCUAUGGAGGGCUUUUACCAUUGAAAUGAAAGGACUCGACCGCACAAGGUUCUAGCUCAAAGACCGUAUUUACCAUAAUACCUUUAGCUUCCUUAAACCUCCUAAAGUUGUGGAGCAAAGGAGUUAACCAAAUGUUAUGUCUCAAAACGCAAGAGGGCAUAGCCUUAGCAGGAAAUGGGCUUACGAAACUCGGUACCGCUAAAACACCAUCCGAUUCCUUCAACUCGGUAGGAUCAACUUUCUGUUCAUCAUGAAUCACCUGCACGUGAAGCAUGAAACCAAGAAAAGCUGCACUUGAAGUAAAGAAAACGUAAGACGGAACCCCAAAUUCAUUGGCGACAUCCAUUACGUCCAUGCAAAACAUAUCAAGAACGAACCCGGCGAGUCGAGGUGAGUCGGACUCGGAUUUAGUGAUGUUGGAGACAACUUGUUUGACAUGGGGUUUCUGUCUCUCAAUUAAAGAAACGAAAUCAAAAAUUUCGGGUUCGUCUUUUGGGAGGUCAAUGAAUCGCAAUCGAUUAGAUAAAGAAUUAGAGGCU